rnacentral:lncRNA from 1 species
GGUCAAAUUGAGGGGGAAAGGGGAGGCGCGCGCUGCCUGGCCGGUUGGGCCGCGCUGCGGGCCGAAAGCAAAACGAGUAGAGAGGGGGGUGCUGGGCUGUGGGGGAGCGCUGGGCCCCACCGUGGGCCGGUGCUCGCGAUGCCGGGGGGGUCAAGAUUGGGCUGGCUGGCCGCUGCUGCUUUUUUUCUUUUCUUUUCUUUUCCAAAACAUUUUCCAUAUUGAAUUUGGUGUGCAAAUAAAUUCUAACCAAAAGCAACAAGCAUAAAAUAAAAUAUGCUCCAGCAUGAAUGCAUAAACAAGUUCCUAACCCUAUGAUGAAUUUUAAUUUCGACAAAAUUAUUUAUUUGCUAGAUUUAAAUGCUCACAAAAAUACUUAAAUAAAUCAAACUAAUUCCUAUUAAUUAAAAACCAGAUUUUGGGUGUUACAGACACUUACCCUGCAUGAGAGAUAGAUGAAGACAUGGUUAAGGUCUCCAUGACUACAUGCAGUGCUCAUUGCUCAUUAUCCAUUGCAAGUCCCUUCCUAGUGGUAAAAAUAUAAAUAACGAUACCUGGAAUGCUUCUGGUUAAAAUGCUACAUCGGUAUUAUCUGUGCACUUGCGG